CAGCCAAGAUGCGGAACGGUGGUCGACGGCGGCGGCCUGCAGCUCCCAAGUUGCAGGUGUGUGCGUGGACAUCUUCAUGAUUACUAAUUACAAAUGAACACACGUAUCUUCUCUUGAAGUUCUGAGUGUUGAGACUUGAGAGUGGUGGCUCAUUGUUUCUGUAUUCAAAUACUGAUGAAUCGACACUUCCAAAAGAUAUGUCAGUCAAAUUGAUAGGAUAAUGUAUGAUCAUGCUUUGUAUAGAGCUGACCUCACAUGGAACAUCCUAUCCAUCUUAAACUUCACCCAGGCUUGAUACAAUUGACCCUUUAAUUUCCUAGAAAUUCUCAUCUUUGCCUGUGCAAAUAUUAUUUUAUUUGUCAUACUCUUAUACAUUGAAGUUACA